ACUUGGCGAUAUGCGGCACGAACGAGAAAUUAUAUAACGCACCUUGAAGAAUGGAACGUACUCCAGCAGAGUGUCGUCGAUGAGAAUAUCUCACUGAUAACGGGAUUUUAUUGCGAUGACCACGUCUCACGACAGCAAUGAAACCGGGAUUGAGCUGUUAUCGCCAAAGUGAACGGAUUUUAAUCGAGCAUUAUCGUGUAUGCACUUAUACGUUAUACCGCUCGUUGAACGAAGGCAGUGGAAAUGGGAGAGUAAACGUGUACGUGGAAUUUAUUUAUCAUUGCUACGACGACUUAUAUAACAAUAUAUCGCAGCUUUGCGAUGUGUUGCCAUCUUACAAUGUGAAAUAGUUCGACAAUACGUUGUUAUACGAUACCAGUCAACGAUUAAACGGAAAUCUGCCGGAGUUCUGCUUUAUCGAUGAUAAA